CUCGUAGUCCUAACUAUAAACGAUGUCAACGAAGGAUUGGAUAAAUUUGAAGACUGAUAAUGAUAUUCAGCAUUGCUGGAUAACAUUAGAAGUCGAAUACACCUUAUUCAGAACUUGAAGAGAAAUCUUGAGUUAUUGGACUUCAGGGGGAGUAUGGUCACAAGGCUGAAACUUAAAG
rnacentral:rRNA from 1 species